AGCAACCGUCCUUUGACAUGACACCAUUGUGACAGUCCCGGAACUUAAGGCUGAAGCACCCCCUGGAGAACAGAGACAUGGAAGGACUGCACUGGAAAAGGGAGAGGACAUCUUCUUGGCAAUGCACCGACAAGCUACCCAUUUCAAGAAGCAGUGGGGAAAUUUUUUUCCAAAGUCCAGUUCAGCUCUAACACAACCCAGGUUGACUCGUUCCCUUUGUCUCUCCUCCUGAACUGCUGACAGCCUGCAGGGGUCACUCCAUCUCAGGCUCAAGAAGGCCUCAGGGAGGCCACGUUAGCUGAGGUGAAUCUGGCCUCAAGAAUAAGCACAGAUCUUACAUAGUGGGCCAAGGAGACACCAGCCUUUGGCAUGGCCAUGACGUGCCACCGACUGAUGGACCACUCCUGCUGCCAGAGGAGCUUGUCAGCCUCAUGGACAGUCUCCUCAGACCUGCUGGUAUCCUCAAGCACACCCUCGGUGCCUCAGAUGCAG